rnacentral:lncRNA from 1 species
AAGAAUGUGUACAAGAAUUUUCCAGAAAUUUAAAUUCUAAAUAUACACAUUCAACGGGGCACGAAUAGUGCCAGCAACUACAAGAGCAAACAAUCCACAGGAAUAACAUGUGAAAUAAAGAGAGUACUUUACUAACUAUUACAAUAGUUCAUUUACAUCAUUUUCUUUCAAUGAUUACAUCAUUCAUCCAAAAUACAUAGCUCUCCAAGUCCUCACCUACAAUGAAUCUCUCUCAAUACAUAGGUGUACUAAUGCAAAAAGGAAAGCUACUAUACUACCACGGUCUCACUGAUCGGGCGCGAUGCCCUUGCCGCGGUCCUCCCUCGGCAGCCCUGUACCUACCACUGGAAAUAGAGUGGGGUGAGAACUAUCUUUCAUAGUUCCCAGUGAGCUCGGCCGCCGACUCUGCCGGUCUCCUCAUUAGGUCCAAGUGGGCACAAGUAACAACAGAUAGAUUGUCACGUCCCGCUAUCGCCAAUUUGGUUGAUCCGGGCCCGUACACAGACGCCGAACGAACAGAACCUCCUCUAUCCGCCCAAGGCUCAACAACAACGAGUACAUGUAUAAAGAAAUAAACAAUUCCUAGGAUAACAUUUCAAUAUACAUGGCUUGCACGAGGGCAAGCAACAAGCACAAGUGAUAGUAAGCUAGCUAUACUGAAAAUUCACCGUAAUUUAAAAAUUUUAAACUGAACUUUACAUAACUGAAUAACUGAAACAUUUAGUUAUUUACAACUUUAUAAUACAUUCAUUUACAUGUCUCUGUACAUCAAAAUGUCUCACAUGAACUCAAAAUGGUAUACCACUAAACACUGGUGUCUGCUAGCUAGGCUGCAGGGCUCUUGCCGCGAUCCUCGGCCACAAUGCUCGCACUGGAACCUGUAUGGUUAGUGGUGUGAGAACUACUAAAAGUUACCAGUGGGUUCGGCCGCCGACCUCGCCGACUCACCCACUAGGUCCAUUUAGGCAUACGCAGGCAAAAGAAGUAAACAGAUAGUAACCAACUAUAACAUGUAACUACUAUAAUGCCUGUACAAAGCUAAAGGAAGCAAUAUAUGAAAACUGUAAAUAUGCAUGCAUGCUUUUACUGAAUUUACCCAAUCUUUUGGUUAACCUUUUGGUUAACAAUAACUCUCACUGACACUAUCCCAAAUAUCGGGGAGACGCAAGCUACACCCGAUGGGACUGUCAACUGGGGGAGACGCACCUCCUGGUCCAGUUAAGAUGACUACUUCGGAGUUCAUCGUUCAAGGAGGAGCGACCUACCUUGAACCAAACGAAUGUGAGUAUGAUCUGAUCCUUCUUUAGAGGAUUCAACAAUAGACAAUGUCACACUUUGACUCCAACUAGCUCUUUAUGCUGGUUUCACAAUUCCAUUUCUCGAUGCUAACCAAAUCUCUAAUUAGAAUGUCACCAAGUUUACUAUUGUUAUAGUCCAUGCAUUCAUAGGGUUCUAUGUCACACAUUCUAAUUGUUCACAAUAUUCUCCAUGUUGAUAGCAUGUUGUAUAAUCAAUAUAUCAUUAUACAUAAACAUAUCAAUACCCCUACAAUGCAUGAUUACAAUGUAAAUAUGCUCAAUGAAUAUCAUAGACAUAAAAGGUGAUUCAAAGAUUCGGAUAGCCCACCCACCUGUAGUGGUGUCAACAACUAGAAUCCACGUCUC